GGCUGAGCGUGGGGGUUAAGGGCCCUUCCCUCCGGGGUAAUGGCACGUCCUGCAGGAAGUUGCACAAGGUCCAGUCUGGGUCCAAAGACACGAAGUUCAGAGACUGAAAACCGUGGGCUGCAUGUCGUCUCUUAGGGGUGAAUUUAGGCCACUGUUCAAAAUGAAAUGUUUGGUCAGAGAGCCCACACUUGUGCAAACACUGAGACAAGGGCAGGGCCCACUGGGAAUUGGCCAAGGCCGGGAGGGGCUGAACUCGCAGCGCUUUGAAGACGUGCCCGCCUGCGGUCUGCAGACCAAACGCUGCUGGGGUCUGGGUCCAAGGCCCGGGGUCUCUGAGGACGCACCUCCUUCCCAGCCCAUCCCUGUGCCCUCCGGGAGUGCCCUCCCUCGAGCGUCAGUGCCCAGGGAAGGAUGGCUCCCCAGGCCUCCCCAGUCGGGUGACACCUUGGGGGGGCUGUCGGCACAGGUGACACAGGCAGCACAGGGGAAAAGGCUCUUCCGUCUUCCUGAAGUAGCUCUGGUGCCAACGGAGCCCAGCGGGCGCAUGUGACCUGGGACCGCAGGUGAGGCCGGGGGCCCCCAGGGAGGGAGGGUGUGUCCUGUGUGUCACCUGUGAGCGCAGGUCCGUUCCUUCCCUCUAACUCACUUCGUGAGGCCUCGCCUGGCCAGGGAUGUCAGGCCGUGCGCGUUGUGCCAGCUGGACGGCCGCACAGAAACCAGACCGAAACUGCCAUGAGCCACCUGCAGGCGCACUCCUUCCCUGCCACACUGUCAGGAGCCCGCAGACGGCCAAGGACGUUUAAACGCCUUAACUCGUCACAUGAUGACACCGGGCCGACAGGCAGAGCUGGUUUGUGGCAGCCCGGGGAGUGUCUCCGUGUCCCAACACUGUCCCCAGGCUUCUGGCCGCCUCCUUCCUUGUCUUCUGAACAGGAUUGAAUUCCUUCUCCUCUGGCCAGGACGGCACGGGAGCUGUUGAGAGCGGGAGCAGGUGGAAGAAAGCCCUGACUUAGCCUCGGGCCCGGCACCUGGGACCCUGGCACAAACCCCACCAGGCGUCCAGCCCCUCCCGGGCGCCGCCCCACCUGGUCCCUGGGGAGAGUUUCCUGAAACGCGCCGCGCAGCUCCCGUCUUGACGGCCUCCCAGCCAAGCUGCCGGGUCACUUGGAGGUGGUCCAGCAUCUUUUCUCCUUUGAGCCAAAGGACACCCUGUUUAAGAAUAAACCUCCUUGUACAGAGGCAGAGUUGUUAACUAGUCCUGAACUAACUGAUCGGGGUGCUUCAAGGAUUCGUCCGAGAGAAUGCCUCGUUUGGAACCAACGCGUCCAGGGACAGUGCUGUUGUUCACACAACAACAUACUGGGGAGGGCACUGCCCCUCGUCCUCACGGGACUGUGCCAGGCUUGUUCCCUGGCCCCCGGCAGCCAGGGAUCACAUCUACCUAAACAGGUGCCCGAGGCCAUGCUGGCCACGUGCAGGGGGAGAGGGAUGGGCCAGGGUCCUGACUUCCGGUCCCCUCCGUCCCCAAACUCACCAGAGCUGACCGCCACCCCCAGGCUCUCAGCUCUGCUCCUGGGGGUCCCGCCCGCGCCCCCCGCCCCACCAGGACAGCGGGCCUUGCCCCUCAUGCUUGGUCCUGAGGCAGGUCCUCGGGGGCGGAAGUCAGAUGCCAUGUCACUGGAAGACUUUUCAUGUCACUAAACUCUCACAUCAGAAACGAGAGGUUCUUGGUGAGGCCCCGGGUCCCAGCUUUUUAAGGAGCCUGUACCAUCACCACGUUAGCGCCUCUCGAUUGGACCUGCUGUCCUGCCUCCUGUUGGAGGGACUGGAUUUUACAGACGCCCGUCUGAGGUUCUCGAUUAGUUCCUAAGCCUUUCAAACCAGGGGCUGCCUCACCCCUGCUUCCCCCCCCCCCCCCCCGCCGCCCCGGCUUGUCCCUCCCGCGCUGAUUCAGGAGUGAAGGAGUGGGGGGGCGGGUUUCUGGGACCCUUGAGUAUUUGCACAGUUUUCUCUAGAUCAGAGUUCAGGAAGCAGGAUUACUGAUGCUAACGGCCCCCUUCUCUCGCUUCUUCUCUCCCUGCUGUGAAAGGCUGGCCCUGGUCUAAAUCCCAGCGCUGACAUGCAAGAGCCACGUCAGGUCAAUGACUUGGCUUCCUGAAACCCGCUUCCCCCCACUUCCUGCCUCUGUCUGUUUCCCUCUCCAGAUUUUUUUUUUUAAGGGCCGCACCCACGGCAUGUGGAAGUUCCCAGGCUAGGGGUUGAAUCGGAGCUACAGCUGCCGGGCUGCACCACAGCCACGGUAAUGCAGGAUCUGAGCCGCAUCUGCAACCUAUACCCCAGCUCAUGGCAACGCCAGAUCCUUAACCCACUGAGCGAGGCCAGGCAUCGAACCCGCGUCCUCACAGAUACUAGUUGGGUUCAUUACUGCUGAGCUGCAGCGGGAACUCCUCCCUUCCCAAACUGUAACACCAAAGUCAAGGCAGACCCAGGAUGGUCUGGAAGAGCUCUCUAAACACGUCACCUGCACCUGCACCCCUCCCCUUCCUGUCCCCACAGUAUAGUAGGAAAGAAUGGCUCUCCCCAGGUCACUGGGCCUCGCAGACACCCUGGCUUUGUCUAUGCCUGGAGCUGGGUCACAGACUAUGCCAGAAAAGGCACGGACAGUCUUGUCCUGGAAGGAAAGCCAUGGCCAGCACGUGCUUGCGAGGGUGCUGGCCAAGGAAAGUGCAGCGGGAUCAAACCCUGGUGCUUCAGGGCGCCUGCUGGCUGUGCGGUGUCCCCCACCCCUGCCCCCCAGGAGAGGGAGGCAGCCUGCAGUGGGGCAGCCACUCAGGUGAUGUCUCCAGGGGUGAGGGCUCCCAGGGGACCCCUGCUGCCUUCCCGGACGGUUUCAGCUUUGGUCACUGUUGAGUGGGCCAUUCUGAUGCUGAACCCUGCCGAGCUCUUGCUGGUUUGCUGAGGGGCUCUCUGGUGAUGUCUGGUGGCACCAGCCCAAGGCCAGCCCGUCCUCUGGGGUCACUGCUGGGGAAGGAAGCCAUCAGGACACAGCUCCACCACCCGCCGCGUCUGAGCAAACUGGCUGCGUCGCAAAGGCCGGCCCAGGAGUCGCCUCACCCCUUCCUUCCGGAGGCAAGUCCGCUGGGCCCCGCCGCGCCCCACCACGCUCGACCGGGUGACGCUGGCUUGGCCUGGAGGGGCCGUCCCCUAGAGCUCUGGCACUUGCAGAGGCGGGCACCCUGACAUGACGUUAGCAAAGGGCCACAGCUCCAGAGCGCGACACUCCAACCACACUUCCGAGCCUGGCCUCACGGUCCUUAAAAGAGACCCGUGCCCACGUGGUCACUGGGCUGUCAGUGCCCUGUCCUCAGGGACGAUUGUCCAAGAACCAGGCUUAGCGGAGCCAUGCCAGCCCCUCGUUGCAGAUGGGGAAGGACCCAGCAGAAAGAGCAAAACUGCCCGGCCACAGCUGGCUGACACGGAACACACGAGUCCCCGGGAUCCCAGACCUGCCCAGGUGACACCAAGAUGUCGUAUGUCACCGAGACUGUGUGGUCGCUUCUGUGGUCAUCACCGUGGCAGCAGAUAAGCAACAGGAAAACAGGGCAUGGCAGGUGUGCUCACCAGAGAGCAUGUAGAAAGGAUGAAAAUGCCCAGAGUGGAGGUCCCCCUCAAGCCCACCACGCAGAGAGACCACGAUCCCACCUCCACGCUCUGGAGAGUUUUAGACGUGGACUUAGAGAAAAUUGAGCAAAAAUCCUACAACCAAAAAUUAUUUUCCUGACCAACUUUGUGUUCCUUUUGCUUUGGCCGCUAGGAAGCUCUUAAUUAAAUUUUUGGCCCAACUUCA
rnacentral:lncRNA from 9 species